GCUUGGCCCUAAAUCUAGAUGUUUCCUCUACCAAAACAUCCGCCCGAGAACUACGAGCACAAACGCUUAAAACUCUAAGGACUUGGCGGUGCUCCAAACCCACCUAGAGGAGCCUGUUCUGUAAUCGAUAACCCACGAUGCACCCAACCUCUCCUUGCCCAAAGCAGCCUACAUACCGCCGUCCUCAGCUCACCUUCUCUGAGAGCCCGACAGUGAGCACAACAACACCGCUAACAAGACAGGUCAAGGUAUAGCCUAUGGAGAGGAAGAAAUGGGCUACAUUCUCUAAGAUAGAGUACGAAAAGGGGCCUGAAAUAACCCCUAGAAGGAGGNUUUAGCAGUAAAGAGGGGUAAGAAUACCCCCUUAAACUCGGCCCUGGAG
rnacentral:rRNA from 1 species